AUUGCGAGGCAUUAUCAUAUGCCUGGAGAAUGUCAAUGGGCCAUGGUGUUUGUUUAACAGUUGUGAGGUUUAUUCCUGGAGAUGGUAUAGAUCUUGAAGCAGAACAAGCCCCAGUUGGCGAUUCCCGGAGAUCACUGGCAACUCUCGCAAGCAUGGAAAAACAACGGAGGUUGGACGAUGAGUUUGUGAAUGAGUUCAGGCUCAAGUCUGCAGGAGAACAGUUUGUGGUGUACGAGGAGAAGGUGGUGAACAAUGAUGAAGAGCUAAUUACAGCUCUAAAAGGA
rnacentral:misc_RNA from 1 species